AAACGAUGUGCAAAACUUGACCUGUUUCCUGAGGUUGAUAUAAGUCAGCCAGCCUCAAACCCUUCUGCAAGAGCUCUGCAUUAGCAAACCAAGCUGGUUCCAAGCAUCCCUUUCCUCACAAGCGGUCUUGUUGGGCUCCAGCAACUGCCCCCUCCCUUUGUACCUG